CACAGUUGUAUCCUCAUUUUGUAUGUAUCUAUGUGUUAGCAGGGGCCCAGUUGGCACUGUGGCACUUUAACAGCACGACAUGGCCCCUUUAAUAUUGACAGCUUGGAAACAAGUGAAAGCCUGUCAUUGCCUUCCAGCUAACAGAGCCGGGUGAAAGGGGAUGAGAAGAGGAGUCCAAGCCCUUAACUCCCAACAACCUCAGCCAGCAGACUGGAG